rnacentral:lncRNA from 1 species
GAACACGAAAGGAAGAUGGUCGCUGAAGCGAAGGGGAGUCAUUUGUGUCCGUUCCAUAAAUCAAGACUGUCGCCUUUCGAAAAGGGGAGGUGUCGCGGUCUGACAGCCUGAUCUGUUUCUAGGACGGCGUGUUUCCAGGAAAUUCUGAGCACAUAUAUAUGCAGGGAGCAGUCAUCGUUUUCCUCCUGUCCAGCCUUCUGCCUCCUGCUCCUCCUCUAGCUGCCUCCCUUGUUUCCAGGCUGGAGAUUCAAUCCCUCUUCACCAUCCCUGCCGAGGGAGGCUGUGUAGCAGGCUGUGUACGGGAGGCAUGUGAGAGAGGCUAUGUAUGGGAGGCCCAUGAGGGAGACUGUGUGAGGGAGGCUGGGUGAAGGAGGCUGUCAUGGAGGCUGUGUGAGGGAGGCUGUCUGGGAGGCAUAUGAGGGAGGCUGUGUGGGAGGCUGUUUGGGAGGCUUUGUGGUAGGCUGUGUGAGGGAAGCUGCAUCAGGGAGGCUAUGUUGGGGAGGCUGUGUGAGGGAGGCUGUGUGGGAGGCUGUGAAGGAGGCUGUGUGAGGGACGCAUGUGAGGGAAGCCCGUGAGGGAGGCUGUGUGAGGUAGGCUAUGUGAAGGAGGCAUGUGAGAGAGGCUGUGUACCAGAGGCCCAUGAGGGAGGCCAUGUGGGAGACUUUGUGAGGAAAGCCCAUGAGGGAGGCUGUGUGAAGGAGGCUGUGUGAGGGAGGCUGUGUGAGGGAGGCUGUGUGAGGGAGGCAUGUGAGGGGGGCGUGUAAGGGAAGCUGUGUAUUGCAGGCCCAUGAGGGAGGCUGUGUGGGAGACUGUAUGAGUGAGGCUGUGUGAGGGAGGCUCACCAACAAGCACACCUCUGAAGGAUUCUGCCUGUGGGGCAGGCAGGAGGCCAUGUCCUUGUGAUGG